rnacentral:RNase_P_RNA from 1 species
GGAGUUGGUUGGGCAGUCGCUGUAUUGUUAACACAAUAUAGAGGAAAGUCCGGGCUUCAUAGGGCAGGGUGCCAGGUAACGCCUGGGAGGCGUGAGCCUACGGAAAGUGCCACAGAAAAUAUACCGCUUUUUUCAGUGAACAAUGUGCCGUUAUCAGUGAAUUGUUUGACUUAGGUUUGCUGGUAGCGCGUUACGGGUAACUGGGCGAAGUAAGGGUGAAAAGGUGUCGGUAAGAGCGCACCGCGUUGGUGGUAACAUCAAUGGCAGGGUAAACCCCACCUGAAGCAAGACCAAAUAAUGGAAUUGUAUUUAAUUAUACAGAUGUGGUCCGCAUCGUUCCAGGGUAGGUCGCAAGAGGUGCUUGGUGACAAGCAUCCCAGAUGAAUGGCUGCUACAUGGGUUCGCCUAUUCCUAUACGGGAGAAGUGGGCUCGUGAACAGAACCCGGCUUAUAGACUAACUCCUUUU